rnacentral:tRNA from 1 species
UAGUUAAUGAACUUGUAAUAAGUAUAUAUUUUGAAAAUAUAAAAAAGAAACAUAGAUUUUCUAUUAACU